GGCCUAUUAGCUCAGUUGGUUAGAGCGUCGUGCUAAUAACUUGAAGGUCGCAGGUUCGAAACUUGCAUGGGGCC
rfam:Gossypium hirsutum cultivar TM-1 chromosome 22, whole genome shotgun sequence